CUCCACAGGGCACCUGCACAGACAUUAUGAGAGUGAAGGUCAACAACUGACACACAUUCAUUAAGCCCAACUGGAUCACCUGACUGAUGCUGAAAACUGAUGCAGAAUAAUGAGAAUGAGUCUGCUACUAGUUCCUAGAGACACUGUAGCACCACCGAUCUACCCUUGAACAGAAUGAGCCAGCACAAGGUCGUAGACCAUGAAAUUUAUCAGGACAUUGUUCAUCCCAUCAGGGUGUUGGGCACAACACAUAUCAGAUGUCAACUAUCAGACAGAAGAAAUGUGUUUGAGUUAUUUUCCUCAAAUAUUUUUCAUUUCUGUCUGUAGGAAAACUAAUUGUCAAGUCCAUGUAAAACAAUCUCUUCUUAUUGGCAGUAAACCAAUGGUUGUAAGUGGGAAUGCUCUUCUGUUUUUCUUCAUGGAU